AAGUCGUAACAAGGUCUCCGUAGGUGAACCUGCGGAGGGAUCAUUCACAUGAUAUACUUGAAACAAACUGUGAACUUUAUAGAAUACUAUUCGUGUUUUUUAUCAGUUUUACUGUAUAAUAAACAUCGUCAUUCGAUUGAACAUAAGAUAGUUGGCUUGAAAUGUAACAAUUUCUUUCUCAGCUUUGAUUUGAUAGAAUUAAACAUUUUAUCACUUCAACCAUAAAACAUAGAAACAACUCUAUGCCCUGGAUAUCUUGGUUCUC
rnacentral:misc_RNA from 1 species